rnacentral:rRNA from 1 species
UACGAAGGGGGGCUAGCGUUGCUCGGAAUCACUGGGCGUAAAGCGCACGUAGGCGGCUUUCUAAGUCAGGGGGUGAAAUCCUGGAGCUCAACUCCAGAACUGCCUUUGAUACUGGAGAGCUUGAGUCCGGGAGAGGUGAGUGGAACUCCGAGUGUAGAGGUGAAAUUCGUAGAUAUUCGGAAGAACACCAGUGGCGAAGGCGGCUCACUGGCCCGGUACUGACGCUGAGGUGCGAAAGCGUGGGGAGCAAACAGG